rnacentral:rRNA from 1 species
ACGAUGAACCACUUCGGUGGGGAUUAGUGGCGAACGGGUGAGUAACACGUGGGCAAUCUGCCCUUCACUCUGGGACAAGCCCUGGAAACGGGGUCUAAUACCGGAUACAACACUCUCGGGCAUCCGAUGAGUGUGGAAAGCUCCGGCGGUGAAGGAUGAGCCCGCGGCCUAUCAGCUUGUUGGUGAGGUAAUGGCUCACCAAGGCGACGACGGGUAGCCGGCCUGAGAGGGCGACCGGCCACACUGGGACUGAGACACGGCCCAGACUCCUACGGGAGGCAGCAGUGGGGAAUAUUGCACAAUGGGCGAAAGCCUGAUGCAGCGACGCCGCGUGAGGGAUGACGGCCUUCGGGUUGUAAACCUCUUUCAGCAGGGAAGAAGCGAAAGUGACGGUACCUGCAGAAGAAGCGCCGGCUAACUACGUGCCAGCAGCCGCGGUAAUACGUAGGGCGCGAGCGUUGUCCGGAAUUAUUGGGCGUAAAGAGCUCGUAGGCGGUCUGUCGCGUCGGAUGUGAAAGCCCGGGGCUUAACCCCGGGUCUGCAUUCGAUACGGGCAGACUAGAGUGUGGUAGGGGAGAUCGGAAUUCCUGGUGUAGCGGUGAAAUGCGCAGAUAUCAGGAGGAACACCGGUGGCGAAGGCGGAUCUCUGGGCCAUUACUGACGCUGAGGAGCGAAAGCGUGGGGAGCGAACAGGAUUAGAUACCCUGGUAGUCCACGCCGUAAACGGUGGGAACUAGGUGUUGGCGACAU